AUGAUAUGUUUGGACACUUUUUUCAGUUUGUUGGUUUCAGAAAGUGUUUUUUUUUUUUUCAGAGGUUUGGUGAUAGAGGAUUUCAGAUGCUCUUUGAAGAUCAUCAAACUGACAAUAUCGAGGCAUGCUCUUGAUGAUCUCCUCCCGAAUGUGGACCAGGGGAUCACUGAGCUCCUGGACAGUCUGAGGUGCAACCUGGCAGUGUCGAAUGGAUGAAAAGAUAAUGUGUUGUACUGAAUUUAGGUCAGAUGAGCAUGGGGGCCAGUUAAUGGUAUCAUUUACCAGAUCAUGCAGAAACUGCUUGCAAACUCUCACAACACGAGGCCAGGCAUUGUCAUGCAACAGGAACACAGGACCCACUGCACUAGCGCAGGGUCUCACAACAGGUCGAAGGAUUUAAUGCUGAUACCUAAUGGUAGUCAGGGUGCUGUUGCCUAGUCUGUAGAGGUCUGUGCGCCCCUCCACGGAUAUGCUUCCCCAGACCUUCACUGACCCGCCACGAAAUUGACCAUGAUGAAUGAUGUUACAGGGAGCAUCAAGUUCUACAUGGCUUCUCUAGACCCUUGUACCUCUGUCACACGUGCUUAGGGUGAACCUGCUGUCAUCUGUGAAAAACACUGCCAGUUCUUGUAUUCUAUAUCAAAUGCCAAUCAGGCUCCAUGGGGCUAGGCAGUGAGCACAAGGCCUGCUAGAGGAAGCUGGGCCCUCAUGAAGUCUGUUUCUGUUUGUUUAGUUGGAGACAGUUGCACCAGCUCCAGCUGGAGGUCGUUUUGUAACACUCUGGCAGUGCUCAUCCUGUUUCAUCCUUGCACAAAGGAGCAGAUACCAGCUCUGCUGAUGGGUUAAGGACCUUAUACGGCCCUGUCUAACUCUCCUAGAGUAACUACCUGUCUCCUGGAAUCUCCUUCAUGCUUUUCAGACUAUGGAGGAGGUUGCACUCCCUCACCAGUAGUGACACUGACCCUAGUCAAAUGCAUAACUAUUGAGAAAACAGUCAGAAAAGAUAAGGAAGGAAAAGAUUUCACUGUCAGCCAUGACAGAUACAAAAAGUAUGUUUGGUCAUUUUUUCUUUGUUUUUGGGGGAGGGGUUGUUUGUUUGUUUUUUCUGUUUGUUUUUUCUGAGGCAAACCUAUUUGUCCCUCCAUUUCUUUGUACAUUUCCUUUUCACAUGUCAGGUUACAGCUAGAUUACAGCGCAGGGUUUCACAGGUUUGCUAUUAUGAUGUACCUACAGCGUGAAUUAAACACAAAAGUCUAAAUUCUCUUUUAACAGGAAAUGACUUCUUGGCUGUCUGAUCUCCAGCUACCCUUGUGUCUUUUUCUUGUAUGAAAGAGGGAAGUAGGACAGCAGGUUAUGUGCUUAGUCAGACAACACUGUGUGCUUUUGAGCACAGAUAAAGGUUUUGUAACAAAAGUCAGGGGUUUUUUGAAUGUAGUUUUAAAAUUGAGUCUUGUGUUUAGAGUUUUCAGUGGGUGGAAGGUUUAAAGAAAAGUGUUCUAGCAACUGUGAAAAAGUGCAAAAAGUUUAAUUUUCCGAAGAGAAGAUUUAUGCUGCAUCAUAAAAGGAACUCAGCAGGUAAUCCAAAGGUAGCAUAAUAAAAUAAAAGGAACAAAAGCAUAAUGGACCGUUCCACCCAAAGAACAAUAAAUCAUCUUGUAUCAGAGCUAUAACAAUACAACUAUGAAUUUUUAGAAUAAGUAAUGCACAAAAAAUGUGCUAAAAUGUCAGUGUUCCCCUUUAUUUUGAUGAUUUUGCAGUGAUUAAAACAUUUUGCUGACUUUUUUACUCAUGUUGCAGCCUCGUUGGCUCAAUUUACAGCCUGUGAAUGUUUUGGACUUUCAAUAUAGGAUUACCUUCAAGCAUCUCUUUUUAACUGUGUCUUUAUCCAGCUUUAUCCACCAAUAAGCAAUUCAUAGCUUCUCUCCACACAUCCUGUUAACUUCUAUUGGCUGCCGACAACUCAGCCGGCUGUAGGUACAUUGGGACACUUAAAAUUUCAUCAAAUUUUUUUAUUUAGAAAUGAAAAAAAAAUUAUGAAUAUUUGUCAUUUCAUUGUGACGCACACCAUGCAAGUGAUUCAAUAUUUUACAACAAUGUUAGCAUGUUUUAAUAUUCAAACAGCACUUUUUUUGACAUGGGGCCAAUUUCAUGGCACCUUGAGGGAAAAAAAAUGUUUUUCACUGAAUGGACUCGUCUUGUCAUUUUCUGUAAAGCUUGGGGACAAAUGGCUGACAGGAUGAAAACCUGAGAAGACCUUUGAUCCUUUCACAGGCAAGCAGAGUGUGAUGGAGGAAGGCAGGGUGUCUUUUUUCCUGUAACUGAAUGAAAUGAUUAAACCUGACUAACAGGCAUGUAGAGGAAAUCUAUUUAGACAUGUAAAGAUUAGACUGAUAUCAGUGCGCAUUUUGAUUGAGAAUAAAAUAUGUAAUAAAAUAAACUGUUUGCUACCUUUCUGCACUAUGGUGUAGGAAGCACAAAGUAGGAACUUAUAGUGUGGGGUUCAAGUAAAAGAAGGUUUGUACUUCUGCGCUGUGAGGAGUCAUGUGCAGCAGGGGUUCACAGUAUAUCCUGAGAUGUGUCUUACUUGUGCUGCAAUGUCUUAGUUUUAUCUUGCAAAGUUCUCUUUAGUCUCUGCUGCAUUCUGCAGAUGCCCGCACACCCUGCUGUCAAGCCAAAUCCUAUAAAUAUGUAAUGGUCUCUUAAACUGAGAGACCAAACACUAAACUAUAUUUCAUGCCAGAAGGGCAGCAAAAUGGUUAUACGUGGUCAUUUUGUAAUGCUGGACUGUUCAAGUUAAAUUAAAUCAAAUCAACCUAUUGUAUAUUGUAUAUAUUAAAAUUUUGGUAAUGUGUUGAAAUGCAGUACUACACAUACAUUUUGUGAAGCAGCCUCUAUGUAUAGGCAGUUAUGGCAAUGAAGCUAAAGCAAUUUUCAUUUCUGUGACUUUCAGCAGCAGAAGUAUCACCUAUUUUACCCAAAUUCUGAUUCCUGAUCCCACAAUCAAGAACAUUACUAAUUAAUCCCAUUUAGUGCUGAGGUUUGUCCUUUUUGUGAAAUAUGCACAGCUUGCGAAUAUUAUCCUGUGGUGUGAUUUACAUGUAUUCAAGUCACUGCCUAAAGAUCUUCUUCUCCUCAGUGGAACAAAACACUCCCCAUUUUAUAAUGACAACAUUAAUCCAACUAAUCCAACUAGUUAGUAAAAAUUCAUGACAUUCACACUUUCAAAACAACAUCCAGGGAGGAAGUGUAGUCCAUAUUUGGAGCCUUUCUGUAUGAUAACAGGCAGACAGUUUGUGUUUUUUAUUCUGUCAGUAUGAAAUGUCUAAGAUGAAAGAGCUGAAACAGAAUAUCCUGUCAGAUAGCUGGCACACUGGCAAAACCAACAGCAAAGAAUAGCUUCACUGAAUAUGUGACUGCUCAACAGUGUGUUAUUGUAGGUACUCAGAAAAAGUGUUUCAGAAUAAUGCACAAACUAUUUGAGUAUCAGGGAAGGGACCCCUCCUGUUACCUCUCACUGAAUUAGCUGCAGUAAGUCUUCACCUCAAGCCCAAUUCAACUGCCUUAAGAAACAGGUUUGUUGCAAAGUGUGGAAGAUGUCUGUCAUGAAGUCAUAAAUGUCUAGGUAUAAUGUACUGUGCAAUAGUCUUGAGUUACCUCUCGUCAGUUGAUAUUUUACUUCCAAGGAGCCAGACGUUCUUUUCUUUGUACGCUGGCUGCUUUUUCACUCAUUUUUAAUCCAGACCUUGUAGCCGAACAUUUUCAGAAGAAUGUUUUUGCUUGUUAUUCCAUUUGACACUGACUACUACUACUGACCUUUAAGUAUAAGAAAGAACUUAACCAAGAAAUUUUAAGUUGUAUCUUUAGCCUUUGUUGCUAGCAGCCUAUCACAAGAAACACAGAAUGUGUUUCCAUUUCUUUAGUCUACAUUUCAGCCAGUUGUUAAGUGAUGAUUGUCAAAAUUAAAUGAUUUAUAGUCACAGAAAAGUACCAUCAGAUUUUAAUCUACUUGGAAAGUGUCUCCUUGGCUGCAGCUUCAUUUUCCAGCAUGACAAUGAUCCCAAACACACUGCAAAUGCAGUAAAAGCAUUCCUAACUAGAAAAAAGCACAGUGACACACUAUCGUUCAUGGAUUAGCCUCCUCAGAGCACUGACCUCAGCAUUAUUGAGGCAGUGUGGGAUUAUUUUGACAGAGAACAGAACAAAAGGCAGUGAAUGAGUUACACUGAGCAAUGAUGUAUGGUUAACUUUUAAUGCUGUUAAAUGAAUCUGAUGUUUGUUUCUAUGCAUCUUGCUGCUGCUUUGGUCAAAUAAAAUAAAAUAAUAAAAAAAAAAACCAUCCUUUUGAAUGUUCUUCAGGCUUAGAAAACAAUUCCAAAAAACUACUUAAAGAAAUUACAAGAAAGCUUGAUAAAAGUUUCAGGCUACAAGGUCGUCAUAACAAAUAUUGACUUUCAAGCUCAUUAGAACUGAACAAACUCAAGCCAGUAUCAUGGCAAAGCAUGUAAUAGACACGCUGGUCCACCGUGUAGAAAUAAUAUAUUUAAAGCCGACAAGUUGCUACUGACCAAGGAGGGUAUGAAAUAUAUUCCAGGGUCCUUCAGGUAAGAUUAAGCUAGGUGGCUGAUAUGUGUUUACAUGUGUUUUAAUCUUGGCUUGAAAUAAAAUAUCACCUUUGCUAGUACUGCAGGUUGCUCCACCUUACUGCAAUUUGUCCAUUUUACACUUAGGUGUGGCAAAGCAAGACAUCCACACAGUGGACCAGCAAUUUUAUUACAUGCCUUGCUGUGAUAUUGGGUUGACAAACUCUACUUUUGCCUUUUUUGCCAUGUAGGUUUGAAAAUUUUUUAAUAAAUCAUUGCACCUAUUUCUCACAGUAGCACAAUAUGGACAGGGGCUGGAACAUAUGAGAACUGCAUAAUGAGCAGUACUAUAUCACUCAACCCACAUACUCAAUGCUUAGACACACAGUUAAAUUUCUGUUAUAGAUGUAGUAUUUCUAAAAUAAUCAUGAACUUGAAAUAGAUGUAGUGUUGCUUGGACAUGGGUACUCAAGAGACUGAUGUACAUAAUGGACCCAGGAGUUUCCAUUAUUUCUUAUUUCACGCUAACUGUUCCCAUUUUGAACUGUGUGAUGAGGA
rnacentral:lncRNA from 1 species